rnacentral:rRNA from 1 species
UCGAGAAUUUUUCACAAUGGGCGAAAGCCUGAUGGAGCGACGCCGCGUGGGGGAUGAAUGGCUUCGGCCCGUAAACCCCUGUCAUUCGCGAGCAAACGUUAUUAUUUAAAAGAUGAUAGCCUGAUAGUAGCGAAAGAGGAAGGGACGGCUAACUCUGUGCCAGCAGCCGCGGUAAUACAGAGGUCCCAAGCGUUGUUCGGAUUUACUGGGCGUAAAGGGUGCGUAGGUGGUGGGAUAAGUCGGAUGUGAAAUCUCCGAGCUCAACU